UCUUCCCUUUGCAGGAAUAAGAGGAAAAAGUGGAUAAUUAAGGAUUAUGACACAGGACAGCCAGGUUUGUGAUGGUGAGUAUUUUUUAAUAUUAUAUAGAUGAGCCAGGUUCUUCCCUUUGCAGGAAUAAGAGGAAAAAGUGGAUAAUUAAGGAUUAUGACACAGGACAGCCAGGUUUGUGAUGGUGAGUAUUUUUAAAUAUUAUAUAGAUGAGCCAGGUUCUUCCCUUUGCAGGAAUAAGAGGAAAAAGUGGAUAAUUAAGGAUUAUGACAGAGGACAGCCAGGUUUGUGAUGGUGAGUAUUUUUUAAUAUUAUAAAGAUUAUCCAGGUUCUUCCCUUUGCAGGAAUAAGAGGAAAAAGUGGAUAAUUAAGGAUUAUGACACAGGACAGCCAGGUUUGUGAUGGUGAGUAUUUUUUAAUAUUAUACAGAUUAUCCAGGUUCUUCCCUUUGCAGGAAUAAGAGGAAAAAGUGGAUAAUUAAGGAUUAUGACACAGGACAGCCAGGUUUGUGAUGGUGAGUAUUUUUUAAUAUUAUAUAGAUGAGCCAGGUUCUUCCCUUUGCAGGAAUAAGAAGAAAAAGUGGAUAAUUAAGGAUUAUGACACAGGACAGCCAGGUUUGUGAUGGUGAGUAUUUUUUAAAUAUUAUACAGAUUAUCCAGGUUCUUCCCAUUGCAGAAAUAAGAGGAAAAAGUGGAUAAUUAAGGAUUAUGACAGAGGACAGCCAGGUUUGUGAUGGUGAGUAUUUUUUAAUAUUAUACAGAUUAUCCAGGUUCUUCCCUUUGCAGGAAUAAGAGGAAAAAGUGGAUAAUUAAGGAUUAUGACACAGGACAGCCAGGUUUGUGAUGGUGAGUAUUUUUUAAUAUUAUACAGAUUAGCCAGGUUCUUCCCUUUGCAGGAAUAAGAGGAAAAAGUGGAUAAUUAAGGAUUAUGACACAGGACAGCCAGGUUUGUGAUGGUGAGUAUUUUUAAAUAUUAUAUA